AUGGCUGAUAUACCCCUCUUGCCGGUCACUAGGGACGGCGCGGAGGUCGGAGGAGGAGCCGCGAGUCCCAAGAAGAAGAAGAAGACCAUGACGUCACUCUACCUCACCUUCUUCGAGGCCGCCGCCGACGGCAAGAACCGUGCCUGUAGGCUCUGCAACAAGACAUAUUGCCUCACCACCGCCACCAGCAAUCUGGGGAAGCACCUGAACAACCGGCACCCGGGCUACGACCAGCUCGCCGAUCACCACCUGCAUCUACAGGGCGAAAACCCUGCCCAGAGUGCCAUCUCCGGCAUGUUUGCCAGGAGCAAGAAGCCGCAGGCCCCGGUGCGAGCUCACCCGCAACCUCAGCCUCAGCCGCAAGCACAGGUUCAGGUUCAGUCUGUUCAGGCUCAGGCGAAAGCGCGGGCCGUCCGCGCUCAGCCCAGCGCGAAGCCGGCGGUCGACGUCGACUACGUCAACUGGUUGCUCCUUCGGUGGCUCAUCGGCUCCUCCUUCCCUCCCUCCACCCUCGAGGACAGCUCGUUUGUCGACAGCUGCAGGUAUCUGAACCCGGCCGUCAGGCUCUGGCCGAAGGAGAAGGCUCAGGAGAUCACCCUGCAGGUGUUCAAGAGCAUGAAGGAGGAUGUCAAGGCGUCCCUGCAGCGCGUCAGGUCACGGCUGUCCAUCUCCCUUGACUUCUGGACUUCCUACGAGCAGAUAACGUACCUGUCUGUCAAGUGCCACUGGAUCGACGAGAGCUGGGUCUCGCAGAAACUCCUGCUUGACGUGUGCCGGGUUCGGUGCCACUCCACCGGUGCUGACAUUCUGCGAGUUCUGUUGGCUGUCUUGCAGGAUUUUAACAUUGACUUGAAAAUCCUUGCUUGCACGCAUAAUAACAGCCAGCAUGCCAUCCAUGCCUGUGAAGAGCUCAGGCGGGAGCUCGAGUCCCGUAAGCUCCCCUUCUGCUACAUCCCCUGUGCCGCAAAGGCACUAGAGGUUAUCAUAGAAGAUGGCCUGCAAAAUGUGAAGCCUGUGCUGUCCAAGGCCCGCGAGUUUAUCCUCGAGACCAAUUCGAACCAGGAGAUGAUGGUGGAUUUUAAGCACUGGACUGAAGUUUACCAGGAAGGCCCAUGUAAAUUCCCUCUUGAUCAUUCAGCAAAUUGGAACGGCAGUUACAAUGUGCUCGACAUAGUAAAUAAGGCCCCUAAUGCGAUGGAUAACACCAUCAAGAAGUUUCAAGACAGUUUUGGUCCGAGGGACUGGGUUCUGAGUGACGAGGAGAACAGCCACCAGAAAUUGUUUGAGAAAAUCGCCAGAGACAUGUCCAAGACGGCUCGUGACUUCACAUCUCAAGCUUACAACAUCUACACCUUCACGGCCGCAAUUCUUGAUCCAAGGAUCAAAGGGGAGCUCAUCCCUGAAGCCCUCAACUCCGCCAGCAACUUGGAGGACGCAAGGGACCAUUUCGUCAGAGACUACAGCAGCAUCUUCCAAGCUCCCGGAAAUGGCUACAACACCCAACAAGACAACACCGAGGAUGGUGGUGCGUUCUCCUUUGCCGAAGAGAUUAUCCGUAAGCGCCGUCGUGUCAGCAUGAGCACUGCCGCUGAUGAGCUCACUCAGUAUCUUGCGGAGCCCCCCGCACCGAUUUCCACUGAUGCUCUUGAAUGGUGGAGGGGGCACUCCUCCCGUUAG
rnacentral:rRNA from 1 species